rnacentral:rRNA from 1 species
ACUUAAAUUGAAGAGUUUGAUCAUGGCUCAGAUUGAACGCUGGCGGCAGGCCUAACACAUGCAAGUCGAGCGGUAGCACAGAGAGCUUGCUCUCGGGUGACGAGCGGCGGACGGGUGAGUAAUGUCUGGGAAACUGCCUGAUGGAGGGGGAUAACUACUGGAAACGGUAGCUAAUACCGCAUAACGUCGCAAGACCAAAGUGGGGGACCUUCGGGCCUCAUGCCAUCAGAUGUGCCCAGAUGGGAUUAGCUAGUAGGUGGGGUAACGGCUCACCUAGGCGACGAUCCCUAGCUGGUCUGAGAGGAUGACCAGCCACACUGGAACUGAGACACGGUCCAGACUCCUACGGGAGGCAGCAGUGGGGAAUAUUGCACAAUGGGCGCAAGCCUGAUGCAGCCAUGCCGCGUGUGUGAAGAAGGCCUUCGGGUUGUAAAGCACUUUCAGCGGGGAGGAAGGCGAUAAGGUUAAUAACCUUGUCGAUUGACGUUACCCGCAGAAGAAGCACCGGCUAACUCCGUGCCAGCAGCCGCGGUAAUACGGAGGGUGCAAGCGUUAAUCGGAAUUACUGGGCGUGCGCACGCAGGCGGUCUGUCAAGUCGGAUGUGAAAUCCCCGGGCUCAACCUGGGAACUGCAUUCGAAACUGGCAGGCUAGAGUCUUGUAGAGGGGGGUAGAAUUCCAGGUGUAGCGGUGAAAUGCGUAGAGAUCUGGAGGAAUACCGGUGGCGAAGGCGGCCCCCUGGACAAGACUGACGCUCAGGUGCGAAAGCGUGGGGAGCAAACAGGAUUAGAUACCCUGGUAGUCCACGCCGUAAACGAUGUCGAUUUGGAGGUUGUGCCCUUGAGGCGUGGCUUCCGGAGCUAACGCGUUAAAUCGACCGCCUGGGGAGUACGGCCGCAAGGUUAAAACUCAAAUGAAUUGACGGGGGCCCGCACAAGCGGUGGAGCAUGUGGUUUAAUUCGAUGCAACGCGAAGAACCUUACCUGGUCUUGACAUCCACAGAACUUAGCAGAGAUGCUUUGGUGCCUUCGGGAACUGUGAGACAGGUGCUGCAUGGCUGUCGUCAGCUCGUGUUGUGAAAUGUUGGGUUAAGUCCCGCAACGAGCGCAACCCUUAUCCUUUGUUGCCAGCGGUUAGGCCGGGAACUCAAAGGAGACUGCCAGUGAUAAACUGGAGGAAGGUGGGGAUGACGUCAAGUCAUCAUGGCCCUUACGACCAGGGCUACACACGUGCUACAAUGGCAUAUACAAAGAGAAGCGACCUCGCGAGAGCAAGCGGACCUCAUAAAGUAUGUCGUAGUCCGGAUUGGAGUCUGCAACUCGACUCCAUGAAGUCGGAAUCGCUAGUAAUCGUAGAUCAGAAUGCUACGGUGAAUACGUUCCCGGGCCUUGUACACACCGCCCGUCACACCAUGGGAGUGGGUUGCAAAAGAAGUAGGUAGCUUAACCUUCGGGAGGGCGCUUACCACUUUGUGAUUCAUGACUGGGGUGAAGUCGUAACAAGGUAACCGUAGGGGAACCUGCGGUUGGAUCACCUCCUUACCUUAAAGAA